UUUCUGAUAGCUCAGUAGGUAGAGCAAAUGGCUGUUAACCGUUAGGCCGUGGGUUCGAAUCCCACUCAGGAAG
rnacentral:tRNA from 1 species